rnacentral:tRNA from 1 species
GCGGGUGUGGCGGAACGGUAGACGCGCCGGCCUUAGGAGCCGGUGGGCCUCACGGCCCGUGGGGGUUCGAAUCCCUCCGCCCGCA